GAUGAACGCUGGCGGCGUGCCUAAUACAUGCAAGUCGAGCGAACAGAUGAGGAGCUUGCUCCUCUGACGUUAGCGGCGGACGGGUGAGUAACACGUGGAUAACCUACCUAUAAGACUGGGAUAACUUCGGGAAACCGGAGCUAAUACCGGAUAAUAUAUUGAACCGCAUGGUUCAAUAGUGAAAGACGGUUUUGCUGUCACUUAUAGAUGGAUCCGCGCCGCAUUAGCUAGUUGGUAAGGUAACGGCUUACCAAGGCAACGAUGCGUAGCCGACCUGAGAGGGUGAUCGGCCACACUGGAACUGAGACACGGUCCAGACUCCUACGGGAGGCAGCAGUAGGGAAUCUUCCGCAAUUGGCGAAAGCCUGACGGAGCAACGCCGCGUGAGUGAUGAAGGUCUUCGGAUCGUAAAACUCUGUUAUUAGGGAAGAACAAAUGUGUAAGUAACUAUGCACGUCUUGACGGUACCUAAUCAGAAAGCCACGGCUAACUACGUG
rnacentral:rRNA from 1 species